AGGCUCCAAGGGCUGGCCAGGCUUCCGUGCAGGACGUUGGCGGCCUUUGUUUGCAUGAGUCCUGUGUGCGCCACCCAGUGAUCUUUCUCUGUGCUGAUGCCUCGUCCAGGCUGAAGCUGUGCCAAGCACAGGAAAUACCAGGGAGCAGCGCCGGCAUGGUGCUGGGCGCAGCACAGCGGGUUAGGCCUUCUCCCCACCGCCUUCCACCUGCAGCUGCUCCCAUGUCGGAGUCCUCAAGCAGCCGUAGGACACCGUCCAUCCAGGCUCCCCACUGCCUUCAGGAACAGACGUGAGGUGCGCUGCAUUCGGGCCAUCCUUCUUGGAACAGAACAUAGCUGGGAAUCAAACCCAGGAAGGACUUCAAUGAUGCUAGGAGAGCAAGUACUGGCCAGUGAGCGGCAUCCCCCCUGCAACCUACAGAGGAUGUUUUGAUGAGAGAUUCAUAUUUUAAGGUCAUCACCAAUGACUGCCAUGUCCAUAUCCUCCCAGAACU